CGAGUGGCGGACGGGUGAGUAAUGUCUGGGAAACUGCCUGAUGGAGGGGGAUAACUACUGGAAACGGUAGCUAAUACCGCAUAACGUCGCAAGACCAAAGAGGGGGACCUUCGGGCCUCUUGCCAUCGGAUGUGCCCAGAUGGGAUUAGCUAGUAGGUGGGGUAACGGCUCACCUAGGCGACGAUCCCUAGCUGGUCUGAGAGGAUGACCAGCCACACUGGAACUGAGACACGGUCCAGACUCCUACGGGAGGCAGCAGUGGGGAAUAUUGCACAAUGGGCGCAAGCCUGAUGCAGCCAUGCCGCGUGUAUGAAGAAGGCCUUCGGGUUGUAAAGUACUUUCAGCGGGGAGGAAGGGAGUAAAGUUAAUACCUUUGCUCAUUGACGUUACCCGCAGAAGAAGCACCGGCUAACUCCGUGCCAGCAGCCGCGGUAAUACGGAGGGUGCAAGCGUUAAUCGGAAUUACUGGGCGUAAAGCGCACGCAGGCGGUUUGUUAAGUCAGAUGUGAAAUCCCCGGGCUCAACCUGGGAACUGCAUCU
rnacentral:rRNA from 1 species